CAUUAUCCACCUUUGAAAUGGUGGUUUCACCUGCAGUCUGAUCCUCCAAUCUCUCCCCAUUACAGUACACCUCCCCACCAUAAUGCCACGGCACGACAUCAUCUUUGUCAUAAGGAAUUGGUCCAGGUACCGUGAUAGUAACUGGAGCCGCAUCGGCCAGCGUUGACAAAUCAACCGGGUCGAAAUAGAUAGUUAUGGUGGAGACAUCUUCCUUCCCCAAAUCCACCUUCUCAAACCUGAGGCUUCCCUCAUCCAUCAGC
rnacentral:lncRNA from 1 species